UACAGAGGUCCCAAGCGUUGCUCGGAAUCACUGGGCGUAAAGGGUGCGUAGGCGGGUCUUUAAGUCAGGGGUGAAAUCCUGGAGCUCAACUCCAGAACUGCCUUUGAUACUGAAGAUCUUGAGUUCGGGAGAGGUGAGUGGAACUGCGAGUGUAGAGGUGAAAUUCGUAGAUAUUCGCAAGAACACCAGUGGCGAAGGCGGACUCACUGGCCCGAUACUGACGCUGAGGCACGAAAGCGUGGGGAGCAAACAGG
rnacentral:rRNA from 1 species